rnacentral:rRNA from 1 species
AUACGGAGGGUGCAAGCGUUACUCGGAAUCACUGGGCGUAAAGCGCGCGCAGGCGGCUUGAUAAGUUGGGUGUGAAAGCCUACGGCUCAACCGUAGAACUGCAUCCAAAACUGUCAGUCUAGAGUGUGGGAGAGGAAGAUGGAAUUAGUUGUGUAGGGGUAAAAUCCGUAGAGAUAACUAGGAAUACCAAAAGCGAAGGCAAUCUUCUGGAACACUACUGACGCUGAGGCGCGAAAGCGUGGGGAGCAAACAGGAUUAGAAACCCUAGUAGUCC